UUUCUCUUCGUGUUUCUGUGCUUAGCGAAGGCGACCUGAAGCUGCGACUCAAGUGCUUGGCUGGCGUAUAAAAGGACGCGGCGAGGCCUGCUAGCCACACAACAGCUCAGCCUCUCUCCCCGCCUUGCAGUGACACACAGAAGGAUGGCCAAGACCACAGCGGCAGUGUGGUGCGUGGUGGUGCUGGCGGUGGCCGUGGCACUCGUGGCCGCGGAGGCAGACCACGGCCGUCCCAGCGGCGGCUACUACCCGCGGCCCGGCUACUACCCUUCACGGUCACACGGUGGCACUGGCCACGGCGUGCAUGGCCACCAUUCAGGCCACUCUUCUGUUGGCCACCGCCCCGUCGGCAUCAGUCACGGAAGCCACUCUUCUCACGGCAGCCACUCCCACGUGGUGCACCGCGGCUACCCCAGGAGGCCUUACCACUAGAACAGACUGCACCGCCUCGGCACUGCUCAGGGGCUGCCGGCCUCGCAGAGCCUGGAUGUCUCUGCACACAACGCCUCAAUCCAUUAUUCCUGACCUGUACUUCCCAAUAAAACUGUAUGAAUA